GUGCGCGGCGGGCUGUCGUUGGCUGGAGCAGCGGCUGCGCGGGUCGCGGUGCUGUGAGGUCUGCGGGCGCUGGCAAAUCCGGCCCAGGAUGUAGAGUUGGCAGUGCCUGACGGCGCGUCUGACGCGGAGUUGGGUGGGGUAGAGAGUAGGGGGCGGUAGUCGGGGGUGGUGGGAGAAGGAGGAGGCGGCGAAUCACUUAUAAAUGGCGCCGAAGCAGGACCCGAAGCCUAAAUUCCAGGAGGGUGAGCGAGUGCUAUGCUUUCAUGGGCCUCUUCUUUAUGAAGCAAAGUGUGUAAAGGUUGCCAUAAAGGACAAACAAGUGAAAUACUUUAUACAUUACAGUGGCUGGAAUAAAAAUUGGGAUGAGUGGGUUCCGGAGAGCAGAGUACUCAAAUACGUGGACACCAAUUUGCAGAAACAGCGAGAACUUCAAAAAGCCAAUCAGUAAGUUUGUUUUGUGAACUGAAUAUUAAGGAGAAAUGCCUGUAGAUUAAUUUUGGACAUGGAAUGAACAAUGGAGAUCAUGUUGGCUGCCCUGCCUAUAAAAUGAUUCCUGGUACCUCUCAGCUGCUGUGUUACAGCUUUGACUUC
rnacentral:sRNA from 1 species